rnacentral:rRNA from 1 species
GGACUACAGGGGUUUCUAAUCCCGUUCGCUCCCCUAGCUUUCGCCCCUCAGCGUCAGGUACCAGCCAGGACAUUGCCUUCGCCUUUGGUGUUCUUCCGGAUCUCUACGCAUUUCACCGCUCCACCCGGAGUUCCAUGUCCCUCUCUGGCCCUCCAGCUGUGCCGUCUUCGCGGCUCUCUCCCAGUGAAGCCGGGAGCUGUCACCACAAACGCGCACAACCGCCUACAGGCCCUUUACGCCCAGUAACUCCGGACAACGCUCGCCCCCUACGUAUUACCGCGGCUGCUGGCAC